GACGAACGCUGGCGGCGUGCUUAACACAUGCAAGUCGAACGGAAAGGCCCUUCUUUUGUGGGGUGCUCGAGUGGCGAACGGGUGAGUAACACGUGAGUAACCUGCCCUUGACUUUGGGAUAACUUCAGGAAACUGGGGCUAAUACCGGAUAGGAGCUCCUGCUGCAUGGUGGGGUUUGGAAAGUUUCGGCGGUUGGGGAUGGACUCGCGGCUUAUCAGCUUGUUGGUGGGGUAGUGGCUUACCAAGGCUUUGACGGGUAGCCGGCCUGAGAGGGUGACCGGCCACAUUGGGACUGAGAUACGGCCCAGACUCCUACGGGAGGCAGCAGUGGGGAAUAUUGCACAAUGGGCGGAAGCCUGAUGCAGCAACGCCGCGUGCGGGAUGACGGCCUUCGGGUUGUAAACCGCUUUCGCCUGUGACGAAGCGUGAGUGACGGUAAUGGGUAAAGAAGCACCGGCUAACUACGUG
rnacentral:rRNA from 1 species